rnacentral:lncRNA from 1 species
GGAAUACAGUGACGCAGUAGGGUUCUAAUCAUGACUGCUGUCUCAGGAGAUGGGAGCAACACAGUAGCCAGGGACUCUGCUACAGGGGCAGUGCCUCUGAGUUCACAGGGGCCUCCUCCCGCUGACAAACUAAAACCAUGACCAUCUGGGUAGAUCAGGACGCCCUUUCCAGUAACACUUCCACAGAGAAGAAGGCCCUGGUUCCCAGACACCGUCAGGGAAUCAGCUGUAGCAGAAUCAUCUGGAGAGGUUUUGAGAGUCAGUCCCGGCAAGAAAGGAUUCCUCAGAGGCAAUUCAGGAGGGAAAUGGAAUUCCUCUGGAAAUACACAUCAUGGAAGCUUGAGUUCUUUUGGGUGGCUGGAGUUAAAUCUCUGAUUCCAAAAAGGAUGCCAUCUCUGGAAGACAGGGACUGAGCCAAGGGCAUGGACCUAGGAUUUGACUCUCAGCUUUGGAAUCCUGCUAACUUCUAGUUUCCACAUCUCAUCGAAAAGUCAGGAAGCAGCUAAAGCAAAUGCUGCCUUUCGCAUCAGACCUAAGUGCAGCUGCAGCUUCAAAGGAGAAGCUUAGUUUCCUUCCCCAGUUGGAAUGCUCCAAUAUUUCCCUACUUUUCAAUAAAAU